UUCCCGUGAAGAUCACCGAAGUCAAGCAUCAUUGGGCGCGGUCAGUACUUGGGUGGGUGACCACCUGGGAACGC